rnacentral:lncRNA from 1 species
AAUGUUCAUCUUCAGCUCUCUGAAGGAUGCGUGGCAGCAGGAGAAUGGAGCUGGAUGCCGUCUUUAUUCCCGAGUCAGAGACCAUGCUGGCCUCACACUCAGAGAUCUGCCUGCCUCUGCCUCCCAAGUGCUAGAAUUCAGGCACGUGUGCCACCAUCUUCAAAAUCUGUGGGAAAAGUCAACUACCAUUUUGAGAAGCCAUGAUGGACUAUGGAAAGAACAUACGGUGAGAAACUGAGGUCUGCCGGCCACCACAGUGGUCCUGGGGACAGGUCUAUCUCAGUCUAACUGCAGGCCUAAGGCACAUUGACUGUAACCACAGGAGAGACCUUGUACCCAAGAGAUCAGGAUAAUCCCCUUCAGAGAAACAAAUGCUUGUUGUUGAAGUUGCUGCUUUGGGGGACAAUUUGCUAUGCAACAGUUACGCAGCUAGUGUGCUCCAUCAUUGAGUAGCUGGGAGAACAGGACUUGAAGGAAGCCACGGCUCUUGUCAGCACUCUUUCUAGGAUAUAAAACUUCAACUUCUUCUCCUCCUUCUCCUCCUUUGUUUGUUUGUUUGUUUGUUUAUUUACUUAUUUAUUUAUUUUGAGACAGGGUUUCUCUGUAUAGCCCUGGAUGUCCUGGAACUCACUCUGUAGACCAGGCUGGCCUCGAACUCAGAAAUCCGCCUGCCUCUGCCUCCCAAGUGCUGGGAUUAAAGGCAUGUGCCACCACUCCCGGCUUCGUUUAUUUAUUUUAUAUGAGUACAUUGUCUUCAGAUACCAGAAGAGGGCAUUAGUUUCUAUUACGGAUGGUUGUGAGUCCCCAUGUGGCUGCUGGCAAUUGAACUCAGGACCUUUGGAAGAGCAGUCAGUGCUCUUAACCACUGAGCCAUCUCUUCAGCAACACUGCCCCUCCCCCCCUCCCCGACAAGUAUCUUUCUUACUAAUCAAUAAUAACCACGUGAGCAAAGGGCUCACUUUGUUUAUUACGUGAAGGCUACCCUGAAACUUUUAUACCACUCAGGCUACCUUCAAACUCAUGGGAAUCCUCCUGUCUCAACUUUCCAAGUGCUGGGACUAUAGGUGUAAGCCAUCACAACACAUCACAGGUUCUCUUCCUGCACAGAGGGAAUUUUUUUUGAGAUUUCAUUUUUAUUUCAUGUGCAUGGAUGUUUUUGCCUAACUGUGUCUAUGCACCGCAAGCAUGCACUGUCCACUGAGGCCACGGGAAAGCAUUGGAUCCUCUGGAACUGGAUUUACAGGCAGCUGUGCGCUGCCAUGUGGGUGUGGGGAACCAAAUCCAGGUCUUCUGGAAGAACAGUCAGUGCUCUUAACCACUGAGACAUCUCGUACAGCCCCAAACAGAACAAAUUUUAUUAAGGUUUAGCUAGCUUUUGUAAAAACAAAUCUUACCCUACUUUUUUUCUAGCAAGAAUAUUUUACUAAGGAAAUUUAUUUCAAAAAUACUGCACAUUUUAAAUCUUUUAGAAAACACUUUCUUAAAAUUGCCAGCCUGGUCUACAGAGUGAGUUCCAGGACAGCCAGGGAAACCCUGUCUCGAAAAAAAAAUUUUUUUUUUGCUUAGAGUGCUGCUCCAGUGUCAGAGUGGCUGUCAACCACACACAACACCCUAGCUGUGAUUCCAAACAACUCUAUAAACCAAGCAUGACAUGGUUGGUGCUUUCCUGGAAGCCCAGCACUUGGGAAGCAAAUUCAAGAUCAAAAAUUGAAGACAUCCCUAACAUGUGGAUGUACACAAGGGUGCUACCCUUGGGCACGUGCUCUUGGGUUCUCUAAGAAAGCAGGCUGAGAAAGCCAUGAGGAGCAACUGUAUCUUCUGCUUCAGCUCCUGCCCCCAGGUUCCUGCCCUACCUUGAGUUCCUGCUUUGACUUCUCUCAGUGAUACGCAUCGCCAGGAAGUGUUAGAUGAAAUAAACUUUUUCUUCCCC